AUGAGGAAGAUUAGGGUUAGUCACUGGUUUUGGGGUUUUUGAGGACAGAUGAUAUGAAGUCUUGAGAUAGGAAGUGAUAGGGUUGGCUGAUGUGUCGAUGCAUGAGAGAGAAAGAAAUGUAUUUAAAUCAAAUAGCAUCAGUAUGUGUCGAUGCAAAUGGCCAUGGAUCGAUGCCUAUCAUUCACAUUUGUUUAUAACAG
rnacentral:lncRNA from 1 species